UACAGAGGUCCCGAGCGUUAGGCGGAAUCACUGGGCUUAAAGCGUGUGUAGGUGGAUCGUUAAGUCCCUUGUGAAAUCCCACGGCUUAACCGUGGAACUGCUUGGUAUACUGGCGGUCUUGAGCCAGCUAGGGGCUACCGGAACAAAUGGUGGAGCGGUGGAAUGCGCAGAUAUCAGGAGGAACACCGGUGGCGAAGGCGGGUCUCUGGGCAGUAACUGACGCUGAGGCGCGACAGCGUGGGGAGCAAACAGG
rnacentral:rRNA from 1 species